UUUUUUUUUUUUUUUUUUUUUUUUGAGGCAGAGUCUUGCUCUGUCACCUAGGCUGGAGUGCAGUGGCACAAUCUUGACUCACUGCAACCUCCGCCUCCUGGGUUCAAGCAAUUCUCCUGUCUCAGCCUCCCGAGUAUCUGGAAUUACAGGUGCACACCACCACGCCCAGCUAAUUUUUUAUUUUGAGUAAAGGUGGGAUUUUGCCAUGUUGGCCAAGCUGGUCUCGAACUCCUGACCUCAGGUGAUUCACCUGCCUGGGCCUCCCAAAGUGCUGGGACUACAGGCAUGAGCCACCACACCUGGCCUGUUGCCCAUUUUUAAGUAGACAGUUAUUCUGCAUGCUCAACAAAUAAUGCAGACUGAGCUUUCAUGUUUAGAGUUAGACUCAAUUUCAUAAAAGAGUGAAGUUGAUCUUCCCUGUUUAAUGACAGUCAUAAUUAUUCUUGGGCUGCAUAGCAAUUAAGCAUAACUAAAUAGUAAACAGGUCUCCCCCUGCCUAAUUUAAAAAUUAUAAAGCUCCACUACUGCAUACUAGGCAUUGUGAUUGGUGUUGAGGAUGUCAGGAUGAAGGCCAAGAAGAGCCUGCACACUUCAGAAGACUUCGUAUGUACCAGGCACUGUGCUGAGGACUUUCCAUGCCUUAAUUUAUUGAAUCCUCACAGAAGGCUUUGCAGAUUCUGUUUUCCAAAGAUGAUCACAACAAUAUCAUCAUACACCUUCCUAAUCCAGUGGUGGAGUUUAUUUCAGCAUCCCCUUCAAUGUGGGCAGGCCCUGACUGGUAGCACACAGAGGGAGUAAUGAUGUUCAGUUCCAGGCGUAGUCCUCAUCUGUCUUGGCAGCUUCUUCUUGCUUCCUGGAAUACCUACUCUGCAAUGUUUCCUCUCAGAACCCAGCUAUCAUGCUCUGAGAAGCCCAAGCCAUGUGGAGAGGCCACACGUGGACAUUCCAGUGACAGCCCUCACUGAUCUCCCAUCCAACUGCCAGCAUCAGCUGUCAGCCAUGUGAGAGCCAUCUCGGAUGUCCAACCCAGCUGAGCCUUCAGAUGACUGUAUCCCCAGCUGCAUUCUGACUACAACAGCAUGAGACUCCAGAUGAGAACCACCCGGCUGAGCCCAGUCAAAUCACAGAACCAUGAGAGAUAACAAUAGAUUAUUUUAAGCCACAAACCUUUGUGUUGCUUUGAUUUGCAGCAGAAAAUAAUUGGAUUAGGAAACAUACGUAUGAGUUUUCAUCCCCAUUGGGACAGAUGGGAAAGCGUGACCCAUCUGUCCCAUCUGGGUUUAGAAAUUUCCCGACUCCACAGAGCUGGUAGGUGGCAGAUUUAGGAUUUAAACCCAAGGCAGCAUGACCCUGACUGCCGAGUUUCCACACAUGACUUCUUCUUUCUAUGAGCUCCCAGUCUCAAAAGAGUCAGCCAAGACUUAAGUGAGAUAUGUCACACACACUUCCAGUGUGGGCAGAGGGCUGGGUGCACAUACAGGAGUGAGGUAGCUCACCCACAUUUGCCAUAUUAUCUUGCCACCUAUCUAGCCUCAGGUAGCACCUCCCACUUCUUUGGACCUCAUGCUUAAGCCUGCAUGAACUUCAUACCCUCUAAUCUGUCAUGCCCAAGUACUUACCUGGAACUCUCCUCUCUACCCACCCAAGGCUGGUUAACACAUCUUUAUCCUUCAGUAUGCAGCUAAGAUGGCCCCUCCUUCGGGAAGCCUUCCCUGACUUCCCCAUCACAUCCCUGACAGGGUAAGGUAUCACGCCAUGGGCUCCCAUAGUACCCCACUUUUAUCAUUAGCAUUUAUCAUACAUAUUGCCUGUUUUCUCAGUCUGGGCAAAGAACAUGUACUCAUGUGCC
ensembl:lncRNA